UGGUACUGCUCUAAGGUAAUGGGAAUUCAUUUCUUCCUGGUCCUUUAUAUAUAACUUUUCAAGUAAUUGUUGGUAAGCCACGAAGAACUCUGUUUUCCUCUAUAAGUACUUCAUUUGUUUGUUUUUGUGUUGUCUCAAGAGCUGGGAAAGCUGAAGUGACAAAGUAAUCUACCGUACCAUCUUGGUGCAGUGCGUGCAGCUCAGUUUUUAGAAACUUGUUUAAAUGCCAUUUUGAGUUUCGAAGUUCAUGUGGAAAAAGAGACGUAUCGAGUAUUGCUGUAGCAGUCGGUCACUAUAGAAACGUGCCGUAAAGAUAACAAUUGACCAUGGCCUUAAGGAGAAAAGAAUGUUGAAAUGAACAACAAACGUUCAAAGCCUCUUUUGUGCUGCUCAGCUGAAGCAGCCUGCCUUAUGAGAAUAGCUGAGGUUACAAAUGAUCAUCCGGGGGUAAUUGCCAUGAAGCUGCCUUUUUUCUGUUACAUGGUAGGUGUGCGGUGCACUUGGCAAGGGCCAGCAGCACGUUCCUUCAGCCAGCUUUUGCUGCUGUAGUGUCUUGCAAGGAUUCAUUAAGGUACAAUUAAAAAAAAGAAAAAAAACAAAGCUCCCACUGCAUGUUAGGACGUCCUUAGUGCCCACCUGUCUGCAAGGCCACCAAGUUGAAUUUUGUAAAAUAAGCUAUUUAUACGGAACCUUUUCAUUUUUCUAGUGCCGCUUGCCAAUAGCUUUUCUUAAAACCUGCAGAGUUUUCUUCUUUUCUGAUGCUCAGGAGGUUUGUGAGGAGCAGGCAUGGCAGCAGCAUCCCUGCAGGUGCUCAGCUCCAGCAGCUGCCUCCCCAGCAUGAGUCCCAGGGCCCUCUUGCUGCCCUCUCACCUUUGCUGCUGGUGGUUCAGCUGCUUCCUAGCUGCCUUUUGACAGUGAAAAUGCAGUCCGUUCCUAGUCAACGUGAUAGGUUCGUGGGGGUUUUUGAUUUCUUUUUUUCUUUUUGUUUGGAAACCAUGACUAAGCUCAUCACUGUCUGAAUAUCAGCCCUAAUACACAUAGAGAGGGGACCAGCCAGGCAAGUUGUACUUAAUAAGGAUGUCUGAUUCUGCUCAGUCACUUCCUUGUAGAGUUCAGGUUCAACUACUAGAGCAGACCCAGAGCUUUUUGGUAAAAAUAUUUUUAAAAGAUGAUCAGCUUCUAAUGAUGUUCUUCAGACUUCCUUUUGCUGUGAUUUCUGUCAUUUAUCAGCUAGAGUUAAAAAUAAUAAUAAUAAUAAUAAUCUUCCUUUUAAUGAAGUGCCAGGUGAUAUUUCUGGCAAGGUGUGAAUGUGAAUUGAGAGCAUCUGAAAACAAUGAUUUGACGAUAGCUGUCAUUAAGUUGCACUCAGAGAAGCAAGACAAAAAG
rnacentral:lncRNA from 1 species